rnacentral:lncRNA from 1 species
AAAUAGCACUUAAUGUUUUAUCAAAAGUUACAAACUUAGGGUUUAGAGUUAAAGGGUGGGGUUUAUGAUUUAGGGUUUAGGGUUUAGGGUUUAGAGUUUAGGGUUUAGGGUUUAGGGUUUAGGGUUUAGGAUUUAGAGUUUAGAGUUUAGAGUUUAGGGUUUAGGGUUUAGGGUUUAGAGUUUAGAGUUUAGAGUUUAGAGUUGAGAAAUAAGGUUUUGGGGAUAAGAUUUCAAAUUUUGAAAAAUAAAAAAAUUAAAAUUUUCAAAAAAUAAACUUAGAAAGGUGCUAUUUUGGUCAUUUUAGUUUUGGAGUGCUAUUUUUGUGAUAUAAACUUAGAAAUGUGCUAUUUUGGAGAUUUGCCAUUCUUUAAAUGUAUUUAUACAUAUGCAUAUAAAUGAUUAAAUUGGAUAUUUGUUACUAAAAUAUAAAUAUUUGUGAUUUGGAUAUUUGGAUAUUAGUAUUUGUUUUUCUUUGUAAAGUUACAAAUAUCCGAUUUUUCGGUAGAACGAACAGAGAAUCGAAUCACCCAACUUACUCACACUCUGUUAGCUAAAACCGACUACAAAGGAAAAAGUCCAAGUUUGACAGCUUUUAUUUCCUUUAAAUUGAGUGGCUAAUAGUAAGAUUGUCGUUUCUUCAUAAUAAACCUAUUGGCCUCCUAUUAACCAAAAAAAUUCCAGUUCUUACAAAAUUUGCUAACAAACUUUAAUCCCUACUUUUUAUUUCCUUGAAACAAAUGUUACUUUUUCAACCUUGUUAUGAAAGUCAAGUUCAGCAUCAUCUGUUGUGUAGAUAGUCUGGAAAAACUCAUUCAACAUUCAAAUGUAAUAUGAAUACACGUCGAUUGUUGUGUCCCGCUUAUAUAAAUAGUAAAAGCCCGA